GGCUCAGACAGCUAGGAUGUUGGCUUAGAAGCAGCCAUCAUUUAAAGAAAGCGUAAUAGCUCACUAGUCGAGUCGGCCUGCGCGGAAGAUGUAACGGGGCUCAAACCAGGCACCGAAGCCGCGGAUUCACGCUAAGCGUGAGUGGUAGGGGAGCGUUCUGUAAGUCUGCGAAGGUGUGUCGAGAGGCAUGCUGGAGAUAUCAGAAGUGCGAAUGCUGACGUAAGUAACGAUAAAGGGGGUGAAAAGCCUCCUCGCCGGAAGACCAAGGGUUCCUGUCCAACGUUAAUCGGGGCAGGGUGAGUCGACCCCUAAGG
rnacentral:rRNA from 1 species